rnacentral:rRNA from 1 species
GACGAGCGCUGGCGGCGCGCUUAACACAUGCAAGUCGAACGGAAAGGCCUGCUUUCCCUUGUGGAUUGCGGGUACUCGAGUGGCGAACGGGUGAGUAACACGUGAGUGAUCUGCCCCCAACUUGGGUAUAAGCCUGGGAAACUGGGUCUAAUUCCCGAUAGGACUGCAGGGUGGUGCCUGUGGUGGAAAACGAUUUUCUAGUGGUUGGGGAUGAGCUCGCGGCCUAUCAGCUUGUUGGUGGGGUAAUGGCCUACCAAGGCGGCGACGGGUAGCCGGCCUGAGAGGGUGGACGGCCACAUUGGGACUGAGAUACGGCCCAGACUCCUACGGGAGGCAGCAGUGGGGAAUAUUGCACCAUGGGCGGAAGCCUGAUGCAGCGACGCCGCGUGGGGGAUGACGGCCUUCGGGUUGUAAACUCCUUUCGACCGCGAGGAAGCCACCUGGUUGGAAGGGUGGUGACGGUAGUGGUAGAAGAAGCACCGGCUAACUACGUG